UACGUAGGGAGCAAGCGUUGUCCGGAAUCAUUGGGCGUAAAGCGCGCGUAGGUGGCCUCAUAAGUCCGCUGUGAAAAUCCAAGGCUCAACCUUGGAAAGCCGGUGGAUACUGUGAGGCUAGAGUACGGAAGAGGCGAGUGGAAUUCCCGGUGUAGCGGUGAAAUGCGCAGAUAUCGGGAGGAACACCUAUGGCGAAGGCAGCUCGCUGGGACGUUACUGACGCUGAGACGCGAAAGCGUGGGGAGCAAACAGG
rnacentral:rRNA from 1 species